rnacentral:tRNA from 1 species
GAGGGUAUAGCACAGUGGUAGUGUGUGUGCUUAGCAUGCUCAAGGUCCUAGGUUCAACCUCUAGUACUCCCA